rnacentral:rRNA from 1 species
UACGGAGGGUGCAAGCGUUAUCCGGAUUCACUGGGUUUAAAGGGUGCGUAGGCGGGCAGGUAAGUCCGUGGUGAAAUCUCUGAGCUUAACUCAGAAACUGCCAUGGAUACUAUUUGUCUUGAAUAUUGUGGAGGCAAGCGGAAUAUGUCAUGUAGCGGUGAAAUGCUUAGAUAUGACAUAGAACAUCAAUUGCGAAGGCAGCUUACUACCCGAAUAUUGACACUGAGGCACGAAAGCGUGGGGAUCAAACAGG